UACGUAGGGGGCAAGCGUUGUCCGGAUUUAUUGGGCGUAAAGAGCUCGUAGGCGGUUUGUCGCGUCGUCUGUGAAAUCCCGCAGCUCAACUGCGGGCUUGCAGGCGAUACGGGCAGACUCGAGUACUGCAGGGGAGACUGGAAUUCCUGGUGUAGCGGUGAAAUGCGCAGAUAUCAGGAGGAACACCAGUGGCGAAGGCGGGUCUCUGGGCAGUAACUGACGCUGAGGAGCGAAAGCGUGGGUAGCGAACAGGAUUAGAAACCCCCGUAGUCC
rnacentral:rRNA from 1 species